AUUCAAGUUUUUAUAUUCCGAGAAAUGAAAAUUUAUACACAUACACUGUGGCAGAAACAAAUUUUCCUCUCUGUCUUACGUGAAUUCUAUUCUUUAAUUUUUCAUUUUAACGUAAAAAAUACAAAAUUAAAUCUCUAUGUGUGUGUAUUAUUUCCAGUAUUUAUACUCGUUCUCAUCAAGUGUCUAUACAUCUUGUAAUUUUAUCUUGGAAUGAAACGAGUUCGUUUGCUUGGCGUCGAUAUUAUUCAGGAUAAUUAUAGUUACAGAACGAAAAGGUAAUGCCACGUUUCGAGUUGUUCAAGGUGUUCGUACGAGAUUGAACUCCUUUUAAUUCUCUAAGUUAACGAUUCAUCGGUAUUCCCAUAUGUAAUGAAAUAUCUAAACUUUAAACACGCUGUAAACUGAAAAUUUUAUGAAAUCGUUAUAAAAUUUGCAUUAUUUCGAAAACAAAAAGAAAAAAGAAGAAGAAGAAGAAUGACGUGUCGUAAUUGCAAACAUCAGACUACCAUAACAGCGUAUAAAAAUCCUGAAAAGAAAUAUAAAUUUGAGAGAAGGUUGUAUGAAACUCUUGAAAAAAAUAUAUAACCAAGCGAAUGCAUAAUCGGAGUAAAUGCAUCGACGGGGAAAAAUGGGGAAAUAUUUUGAGACGCUUUAUCUCAUUAAAUUUUAUUAAACCGUCCCGAAAUAUUUCGUCAUUUUUUUUCUUUCCUUUCCUUUUUUUCACGCAUCGAUUCUAUCGAGAUUUUUAGGCCGCAUGGCAUAUUUAAAGUGCGGUAUACGCGCAAAUAUCGUUACGGUAAAAGUAACUUUUCCGAUAGAUCGAAAUUUCCAUUAAAUAUUCAUGGGGGGCUUUAUACGCGGCCCAGUAAUUGAAACUUCACAUAAUCGGGAAAUGUCGCCGUCCUUGUAGUUAAAUAAAUUUAGCACGAAAUCGAAUGAACGAGCAAGAGGUGGGUUUUCGUUUAUAGGAAAUCUAGUUUUUGGCAAAAUUUUAUUUAAACGAAUUCGUUGGAAAAAGAAAAACAGAAGCAGUUAAUUAAAUUAUUUCUAAUUUUUUUUUGAUAUCCGUUACAAUUUAAUUUUGUAAGACAAUAAUCCACAAUAAUCUAUCUGUUCCAGACAGGAAAUUGACGAUAUUGAUUUUAGAAAUUUUCCUCGACGAAUAUUUGGAUAUUUUAAAAAUGAUAAAGUUGCCCUACGAUAUAAUAAUUCAUCGAUCCAGCAAGAAAGAACUUGUUUGAAUUAAAGAUUAAUUCGUAAACAAUAUAAAAAAAUCUAAAAAUCAUUGGGAAUUCACGAAGAUCCUAAUAAAUCCACGAAGAAGAUCCAAGAUAUUCGACGAUAUUUUAAUCUCGUAGAAAUCUAACCUGGAUUUUUCGCUGCAUAAUAAACAAGUUUGGUCUGGAGACAAGUCUCGCCAUGUAGAGCAUACAUAAGGUAUAAACAAACUUUCACAAAAAUCUCUCCAUAACACGUACACGCGUACACCACCAUCAUAUACACAGAUAUAAAGCUAGAAUCUUUGGAGGAUCGAAACUGGUAUAACGAAAGAGAGCUUAUUCAUCGAGUUGAAUCCAAUUUUGCGGGAGAGCUCCAUCCAUCUCUCUCCCCUCUAUUAUAUUAUUUAUCAACUUUCGUGUUCCUUCCUUUUUUUCUCUCUCAGAAUCAUUCCUCUGCCCGAAUCAAAAAGAAAAAAAAUUAUCCCGCGCAUCGAACGCGCAUCACGAUCCCAUUAAACUUGUCCCUCGUCGGAGAUGCCUCGACGACGACGGAGGAAAAUAAAAGCGGAUGAAUCGGAUCGGGCCACGCUCGAUAAUCGCGGCCCAAUAAAGCUGUAGAGCCCCCGUCGCAUGCCGCAAAGGAAUGUCGUUUCCGUGGGCCGUGAUCCGUGGGUUUCGUGGUCUGCUCCCGGUUAUCGGCACGUGCAUCUGUGUAUUUCCGUCUGCCGUCUUUCGUCGGCUCGUUCCAGAACGAGGGGACGAAAAAGUCUCUCUGCGAAACCUGCGGGCCGGCUUUUGACGAAUUCGUGACGCCGAUUCAACGCUCGAUCCCAACGCAAAUUUCCAUUUUUCGCGUUUGUGUAAUAUACACAAGUCGAAUUAUCGUGUUCGAAUAUUAAUUUAUCUCUCUUGAAGAAGGAUCGAUAAGGAAAGUUUGAUUAUAUUUGGGAAGAUGUAAAGAAAUGUUAGAUCGUUUGUCUUAGGAAUAAUCGAAGUUAAAAGAAAUUCAAUUUUUCGUGAAAAUAAUUUGGAUCCCAACGCAAAUUUCCAUUUUUCGCGUUUGUGUAAUAUACACAAGUCGAAUUAUCCUGUUCGAAUAUUAAUUUAUCUCUCUUCGAAGAAAGAUCGAUAAGGAAAGUUUGAUUAUAUGGGGAGGAUGUAAAGAAAUGUUAGAUCGUUUGUCUUAGAUAUAAUCGAAAUUAAAAGGAAUUCAAUUUUUCGUGAAAAUAAUUUGGAAAUCUUGAUUUUAGAGAUCAGAUGAUUUUAGUCAUAUCUUAAAUAGCAUCUACGUUGCAUAGAAAUAAUAUCGUUGAAUUUUAUUGAGAAAUAGGAUUUAUACAUAUGGGGAUAUGUAAACGGUAUAAUAAUCUGAUAUAAAAAUAGUACAAAUUUGUCGAAUUUUAAAAUUAUUCCAAUCUCGAUCCGAUUAUUAAUUACGAGACAACGAAUCCUUAUCGUGUUUUCUUCGAAAAUGAUUAUUUUAAUAAUUCUUUCCAUUCACACUGAUUAAAUUAAACAAUGAUGUAAUAAUCAAAAUUAGGGAAUCGAAUCUCGAAACAGAUAGAUAUAUAUAUAAAGGCGUGUUCACAUGAUACAAUGUUUUAUGGAGGCAGUGUAAUGGCACGGUUCGUGAUGAUAUAUCGUGUAAAUACGGUGCACGAUAAAGUAUUACCGCGAGGUGGGAUCAACCAGGCAUGGAAGCGACGAUAAAAUAUUUGGCCGAUACUUUGGUCGGUGGUGAAAUUUUUUCGUUGAUGGUAAUUGAUUACGCUUAAUCAAGCUAUCGAGCCCGUGUGCAAUUUGCAAUUUGCAAUUGUGCAUCCAACGGUGCAUGGUAAGUUGGUCGUUGGAUUAUAGUUAUUAACCUUUUUUUCUUUCUUUCUUUCUUUUUUAUGCCAGUAUGAUUUUUUAUUCUUGAGUAUUGAGAUUGAACCCGAUGAUGGAUAAAUUUAUUUACCAGUGUCUAGUGAUAUUAAUCGAUACACGGGACUUUUGAUUUAUGCACACACGUUAUUUAAUUUUUAUGUGAAAUUUAGAUUAAGUAAUAAGAUUAAAACCGAAUCUUUUAUUUCGUUUUCCUUCGAGUCAUUUUUAUUCCUCAUAGGGAUAAAUAAGAUUCUUACUAGAUUUCUUACUAAAUUCAGAAUAUUCUUCGAAGAUGAUGAAUACACGUUAAUAAUCGAUCUUUGAAAUAAAUAUUUAUUGAAUAUUUGCUCUUUUAAUAUUUCGUAUUAAUUUGAAUAUUCAAUAAUAUCGGAUAAUAAUUUGUGAUUAAUAAUCCGAUCGUAUAAUCUAUUUCGAUUUUAAUCAGUCUGUUGUCACGAUACAAACGAAAUAAAAUGGGGAAUUCGCGUGCAUCGUUUGUUUAUUGACAAUUUCGAGAAAAAAA